UAAAUAUACGUAUUGAACCAUUGAAAACUGUAAAAAAUAUGAAAAGUGCAGGUGCAGACAUUCAAUCGUGUGCACAGACCUGUAUCUUAACUAUAUCGAUAAUAAGUUUGUAGUGAGAUUUUAUACUAGUGUAACAAUCCUGAAUAAAAAAAUAUUAUUAGGCACUUUAAUAUUUAAAAUGGCUGGACAAACCUUAUUGAUUAAUAAAGGAGAAAUUCUGUAUAAAAAACUUAAUGCUGAUUUGCAUGAACAAAAUAAUUUUGAACCGGACUUUGUUGGCAGGGAAAAUGACAUUGAAAAGUUACAUAAGGCUUCGAAAGUUUGUAGGAUAAUGGGUAUAUUUGGAAUAAAAUCUGUCGGCAAAUCAAGGCUUGUGAAAGAAUAUUUGAAGAGAUUUAAACCAGACGGAGUCAAAGUUAUACAUAUAGAUAUAAAGUUGAUGCCGAAUAUAGUGUCGUUGUAUUCAAACAUCUGCGCAGCCUUGGAACUACUCUUUGAUCAAGCCUCGACUGGAUCUGACCAAUGGAUUCAUAAUAUCGUGCUAUUUCUCAAUUCUGUACCAAGAAAUGAGUUUUUGUUCUUCUUUGACAAUACAGAGGACUAUCAGGAUACUAAAAGUCUAAACAUUUGUUCUUCAUUUUUAAGAUUAUGUACUUCAAUUGUAGAGAAAUGUCAAAACGUUCAGAUUUUCAUUACUUCAACUACUCAAGUUCAGUUUUCAAAACUUGGAAGAGUUUAUUGCAGUCAUGAACUUGUACCUUUGAAUGAAACAGAAGCAAGACAGCUACUGAAAAAUGUGACUUCGGAGAUUGAUCUAGAAGACUAUGAGAGUGCAUUGAUAACGCUUAGUGAAGGAUUGCCACUACUGAUCCUUAUGAUCGGAUCAGAGUUAACAGAAGACGCAGGGAUGAUAACUCCGAAUAAUAUGGUCGAUCUUUUACUCACUGGUAGACUCAGAGCAUUGAGUAGAGAAUUUUAUCCAGAGGAAGAUAGAGUCGGAGAUGUCUAUAGGAAGUUUCUUGAUCGACUUGAUGUAGUGUAUAAGAAUCAUGUCACUGUUUUAGAAUACAUCCCGGGGACAUUUAGUGCUGAACAGGCACAACAAAUAUUGGGUAUGAAUUAUACAUAUAUUAAUGCAAACUAUUGAUAUAUUCUAUAAAAUUACAGAUAACAUCUGUACAUAAAACAUAUCGUUAAAGAUUAAGAUCUGCUAUCCUUAUAUCUAUUUUUAUCAUAUUAUAUGAAGUGAUAAUUACAGAUGCAAAUACAGUGGAGAUGGUCAUGGAAGAAACAUUACGUCCUGUUUGUAAACGUCACAUACUUCACUAUGACCGAAAUACAAAACGAUUUGGAAUUCAAGGAAUUCUACGCGAAUGUAUCAAGUCGUUUUACAUAAUUGAAAAUUUACCAGAAAUCAGACGAAGAUACAUACAAAUCUUUUCUGUUGUAAUGACAAAUAUCUCCAAGCGUCUGAAUACAUAUGAAUAUACAAACGCUAUGGCUGAAUAUUUUAUUGAACAACCGAACUUACAAAAGCUGAUGAUGGAAGUAGAGAACACUGCUCAAGACAAUUAUAAGUUCUUCAUAGAAAUGGUGACCAACUGUACCGGAAUGAUCGAACACUUUAUGUCAGGAAACGUUGAAGUAUUUUAUGGGCAUUGUUUAAAAGCUGCGGAAAUGUAUGGUCAGGACGAAGAUAGGGAAUCUGUUAACAUUGCUGUUGGAAGUUUGUACACUAAUACUACGGGAGAUUUACUCGGAGGAGAAACACACUACAAGGCCGCUUUUGAUAUCGUAGAGCACAAUGAAAGAUCCUUACUGCUAGCAACAGUGUAUCAAAGGUUAGGUUGGAACACACUACUUCAAGGACAAACCACUGGUGCUAUAAGAUAUUUCAAGAAGUCGUUGGCAAUAACUGUGACAUCUGGGGAAAAGUUCAAACUAAUUGCUGUACAAUCAUUAAGCAGUAUGGGUAUAUCGUUAACGCUGCUGGGUUUGUUUCCACAUUUGUUUCAUAUGAUAUUAUUUCAAGUUACUGAAUCAGUUUCAUGACAAUAAAGUCUAAAAUACUAGUUAUGGAUAGAAAUAUGAAAUUUUCAUUCAUUAUAUUUGAACAUUGGAUAACUAGUUUCAUCCUUCCUUAUUAAGCUCAAAUAUAUUUCAGGUAAAUUCAAAGAGGUAGAAAAGUAUCAUUUGCAAUCAUUAAACGGCACCGAAUGUUCCUAGGUGAGUGUCACCCGGGAAUAGCUACUUGCUAUAACAAUAUUGGUGAAAUGCAUGAUCUGAAAGGCGACUCUGAAC